UGUUAUGAAGGUACAAGCUGCUCGUGAUGAAAUGCAAUGGGGUGAAGAGGGCCCUCCUCCAUUGCUCGUGAAAAUCGCUCCAGAUUUGUCUAAAGAAGAUCUCGAAGAUAUUGCUGCAGUGGCCCUUGCCCUUCGCUUGGACGGAUUGAUUAUAUCAAACACAACUGUUUCAAGACCAGACAGAAGACUCUGUUAGUAGAAACCCAGUGGCUUCUGAAGCUGGUGGCUUGAGUGGGAAACCACUAUUUGAUACCUCUACCAGACUCUUAAAGGAUAUGUACCUGUUGACAAGGGUGGCAGGGUUGCUUCAUUUCUUCUGAGGUUGCUGCAUUGGCUUUGAGGGAAUGAAAGAUCUAAAGCUUGAUAGAAACAUAAAGACACACGGCCCUUCUUCAUUAAUGAGUUAAAGUAGAAGACAUUCAUGGACCCUCAUGAUGAAUAUGAUCUGAUGGAACUUGUAUAGUUGUUAUUAGAUUGGAU